AGGGGCUUAGGUUAACACAAGACCAAGAGCCUUCAAAGCCCUAAGCGAGGGUGAGAAUCCCCCAGCCCCUG
rnacentral:tRNA from 1 species